GCCUGGGUGGCUCAGUCGGUCGAGCGUCCGACUUUGGCUCAGAUCAUCUCACGGUUCGUGGGUUCGAGCCCCACAUCGGGCU
rnacentral:tRNA from 1 species